CACGUACCGCAAAAAAAAAAAAAAAAAGAAAGUAACUUCAUUUUGAUAAGCAUCUCAAACAUCCCACCCAAAAUGGUGAAGAGUUGGAAAUAUUUCUGCCUCAUCAAACAGCCUCAAUUCCAGAGAGACACCCAGACAGAACAUCUGCCAUGGACUGUUUAACUUCAUCGGGCAGAGAAGUUGGAAAGAACAAAAAUACUCGAGGCACUGAACAGCCUUCUCUAUCUCCGGCACCAGACGGGAAUGGCCUGGAGGUAUUUCCACAGGGACGUGUUCUUGAGCUUUUUCUUGAAAUCCUUUGCCCUCUUCUUCACAGGGGAGAACUAAACUAUUUGUGCACCACGUUUUGGGGGGUAGGGUGCAGAAUGGGAAUUGAAGGAUAAGUCAGUCGUUUAACAAUCCUGCCUAUCCAUGCAAAUGAUUUCAAAAUAUGAAAUACUCAUUCCAGAAAAUUUAUUGACAAUUUAUUGUCAAGGUAUUGUGUAGGUGUUACAGAAAGACAAAGGUAAAUUACACAUGGAUCAAAUCUCAAGGAACUCCCUGUCAAAGAAGUCAUGUAAAAGACACACAGAUACCUGUGGGGAGUAGAAAGCUAUGGGUGUGUUUUAGGUUGGAUUCCUGGAAGUACAGCUAGAGCAGGGCUUGUGGGCUUUACUGAGGGAGGGAUCUGGGGUGAAAACUUUGAGGCUGUGAGCGGAGAAGGACAGAGCAGGAGAGAAGCUAGGCAAAGAGGUGGGUGUAGCUGGAGCCUGAUCCCAUGAGGAGCUCUAAAGGAUGAUUUGUGCCUGUGGUAUAAUAAAAAAUAUAUAUCUGGUCUUUGUCCCUGAUUUUGGAGUACAGAGCUCCUAAAACCCUUACAAGUUAUCUUCUGUAUGCUAAUGAGGUGAGUCCCCAGAUCGUCUCAGGAUGGGAGCUCGUCACAAGAAAAGCCAGCUAUAUGAUUAGAGGGUUGGAACUCUCAGCCCCAUUUCCCAACUUCUGGGGAGGGCAGAGGGGCUGGAGAUUGAGAUCAGUUCCCCAAUGACCAAUGACUUAAUCAAUCAUGCCUGCAUAAUGAAACCUCCAUAAAACCCCUAAACAAUGGGAUUCAGAGAGUUGCUUUUUUUUUUAAUUGAAGUAUAGUUGAUUUACA